UGUUAAGACACCCCAACCUGGUGCUAGUAGAUUAGCAAUUCUACUAGCAUGUGCUUGCUUAACUUUUGUUUCUACUAGUCCUACUAGGUUAAUGUUAUUUUUCCAAAUGUAUUCCCUAAAUUCUUUCUGCUUGUACCUCUUAUUUACACCCCUUAUGUUCCACACUAACCACUUCAUUGGUAAGAUGUUGAUGUAGAGUUCCCAACCUCCCCCGGAGGUUCAUCUUUACUACUAGAUACUGCUGCAAAUCUGUUACUCACAGUGAUGGGCGACAGAGGUGGAAAAUUGCUACUGUUGAGUACUGGGAUCUGAG
rnacentral:lncRNA from 1 species